GAUCUGGGUUCAGAUUCAACAAGACGCAGGAACACUUCCCUACUCUGAAGGACUACAACGAUUAUCUGGAAGAAGUUGAGGAUAUGACUUUCAACCUGAUCGAAGGGAUAAAUGUCUAGGAGAUUGAAGCAAAAAUUGCAAGAUACCAACAGGAAAAUGCGGAGCAGAUAUACUUGUCCAGAGCUAAAAGGGCGGAAGAUCUUGCAGA